UUGCAGGCUCUUACCAGUCAGGCUCUGGCCAUAUUCCAGGACACAGUGGGUCCUGGGUAUGACUAAAGCCNGACUGAACAUUGGCCCAG
rnacentral:pre_miRNA from 1 species